rnacentral:rRNA from 1 species
GGCGAGUGAAGCGGGUAAAGCUCAAAUUUGAAAUCUCACAGGACCUGUGCGAAUUGUAGUUUAGAGAAGCGUUUUCGGGGGCAGCUUGGGUACAAGUCCUUUGGGAUGAGGCAUCAUAGAGGGUGAGAAUCCCGUUUAUGACCCAAUGUCUGCUCCUAUGUGAUACGCUUUCCAAGAGUCAGGUAGUUUGGGAUUGCUGCCUAAAAGGGUGGUAAAUACCAUCUAAAGCUAAAUAUUGGCGAGAGACCGAUAGCGAACAAGUACCGUGAGGGAAAGAUGAAAAGAACUUUGAAAAGAGAGUUAAACAGUACGUGAAAUUGCCAAAAGGGAAACGCUUGGGGCCAGUAUUGCUUGCAGGUAAUCAUCUGCAUGAUCCUGAAAAGGUUAGUGCAGUGCACUUGCUUGCAGGCAGGUCAACAUCAGUUUGGUCUGGGGUAAAAAGCCAGAGGAAGGUAGCUUGGGCUUCGGUCUGAGUGUUAUAGCCUCUGGUCAUGCCUUGGACUGGACUGAGGUCUGCAGCGUCAUUUGGAUACCCGAUCGCCUCCUGAACCUUGUUUUUAGACAGCAUGCUGACUAAGAAGGGAGCCCGGUUGGUUAUCACACCAACGCUUAGGAUGUUGACGAAAUGGCUCCAAACGACCCGUCUUGAAACACGGACCAAGGAGUCUANCAUAUAUGCGAGUAUUUGGGUGGCAAACCNUUAUGCGAAAUGAAAGUGAACUUAGGUGGGAUCUUCGGUGCACCAUCGACCGGNCUGGAUUUUUUUGAUAGAUCUGAGUAAGAGCAUAUCUGUUGGGACCCGAAAGAUGGUGAACUAUGCCUGAAUAGGGUGAAGCCAGAGGAAA